GAUGAAGAACGUAGUGAAAUGCGAUACUUGGUGUGAAUUGCAGAAUCCCGUGAACCAUCGAGUCUUUGAACGCAAGUUGCGCCCGAAGCCAUUUGGUUGAGGGCACGUCUGCCUGGGCGUCACAUAUCGUUGCCCGAUGCCUAUUGCACUGUGAUAGGAAAUUCUAGGGCGAAAGAUGGCUUCCCGUGAGCGUUGUUGCCUCGCGGUUGGUUGAAAAUUGAGUCAUUGGUAGGGUGUGCCAUGAUAGAUGGUGGUCGAGUUUGCACGAGACCGAUCAUGUGUGCGCUCCCCAAAAGAUGGACUCUUUGACCCCACACGCGUCUUUUGACGCUCAUGACGAGACCUCAGGUCAGGCGGGGCUACCCGCUGAGUUUAAGCAUAUCAAUAAGCGGAGGA
rnacentral:misc_RNA from 1 species